rnacentral:lncRNA from 1 species
GCAUCACGUCGCCCCCACCAGGCAUCCCCUAUAGGGCUGUCUUGUGUUGGGGCGGAGAUUGGUCUCCCGUGCCCAUGGCGUGGUUGGCCUAAAUAGGAGUCUCCUCGCGAGGGACGCACGGCUAGUGGUGGUUGAUAAGACAGUCGUCUCGUGUCGUGCGUUUACUUUCUUGAGAGUAGAUGCUCUUAAAGUACCCUGAUGUGUUGUCUUAUGGCGAUGCUUCGAUCGCGACCCCAGAAUGA